UCUGGUCAUGUCCCAACAGUAUUUUUGUUGUAUCCUCCUUGUGAGUGUUUUGACUUUGUGCUACCUUUUUUCUUUCUAGGACUUUAGUCCAGGAUCCUCUGGUAAGAAGACGGCCCUUGGACGUAAUGAGGAUGAUGGAUCUAGAGAAAGAGUGAAAGUUUAUUUGGAGGCCCACACGUCAUCCAAAAACAAACAAAAAGGAACCAUUUUGCCACAACAUGGUGGUAAAUCACCAUGAAGAAUCUUAAACGGAGUGAUAGUACAAACUGUUGGAGGAUUUUCUAAGCAAAGGAGCUUUUACCCGUCUCUCAGUCCACUGACGUAAUUGUCUAUCUGUGCAGGAAUGCCCUGUAAGAUGGAGUUCCUGAAGCUUUUGUUCUCCACCAACUUCCCAUCAUGCCCGUCAAUUACUGUCAGCUGCACCCCAUCUUCUGGUUGGUACAAUUUCCUGCCGUUCACCUGGAACAACAGAGCCAGCCAAUUACACUACAGUUCUGGGAUUUAUAAAUUGAUAGCACUGAACAUUGCAAUAAUGUAACAAGUGGAAACAUAGAGCUACAAGUCAUGGGUGUAGAAGUAAAACCUGUAAUGUAUCUCUGAAUGAUACUCUCUGAAUAUAAUUUAUGUUCAGUAGCCCAUAACCAGUGUGUUGGUAACUCUACACCUACUAAUCUAUCUGUAUGACACAAAGGAUACCUCAGUAAAGGCAAAGUCCUCCUUGAUGUGGAAGAAUCGA